UACGUAGGGUGCAAGCGUUAAUCGGAAUUACUGGGCGUAAAGCGUGCGCAGGCGGUUAUGUAAGACAGAUGUGAAAUGCCCGGGCUUAACCUGGGAACUGCAUUUGUGACUGCAUGGCUAGAGUUUGGCAGAGGGGGGUAGAAUUCCACGUGUAGCAGUGAAAUGCGUAGAGAUGUGGAGGAAUACCAAUGGCGAAGGCAGCCCCCUGGGAUAAUAUUGACGCUCAUGCACGAAAGCGUGGGGAGCAAACAGG
rnacentral:rRNA from 1 species